AACGAACGCUGGCGGCAGGCCUAACACAUGCAAGUCGAGCGAGGACUUCGGUCCUAGCGGCGGACGGGUGAGUAACGCGUGGGAACGUGCCCUUUGCUUCGGAAUAGCCCUGGGAAACUGGGAGUAAUACCGGAUGAGCCCUUUGGGGGAAAGAUUUAUCGUCGAAGGAUCGGCCCGCGUUGGAUUAGGUAGUUGGUGGGGUAAUGGCCUACCAAGCCGACGCUCCAUAGCUGGUUUGAGAGGAUGAUCAGCCACACUGGGACUGAGACACGGCCCAGACUCCUACGGGAGGCAGCAGUGGGGAAUCUUAGACAAUGGGGGAAACCCUGAUCUAGCCAUGCCGCGUGAGCGAUGAAGGCCUUAGGGUUGUAAAGCUCUUUCAGCUGGGAAGAUAAUGACGGUACCAGCAGAAGAAGCCCCGGCUAACUCCGUG
rnacentral:rRNA from 1 species